rnacentral:lncRNA from 1 species
AUAAUGCCACUAUGAUAGAAAAUGGUCAAGAGGUUCCUCUACCAGUCGCAGAUUUAGUGGUGAAUAUCCCAGAUAUUACGAAGGUGACCCGUAGCAGUUGCGUGUUCAGUCCAGUUUUCCCUAAAGAAGUAGAAGAUGUUUCUGCAAGUAAGAAGGCAGAGAUUCCAGUAGUGAAUCUGGUUAGUGCUCCAAUGUGUCAGUCCGGGGAAUCCAGCAAAUUGAAGACUAGCAAUGAUGAUGAGGU